AAGAUUGUGAGGGCUUGAUGUGGUAGGCUAUAGCACUUGGAGGGCAGAUUUCUUGUAGAUUUUUCUCAAAGCAAAAAAGAGGACUAAUUGGACCAAUUUACAUGACUAGGCUACCUUGAUUCUAGAAACGAGGUGGAAAGUGGAAUUGAUGUGACAGCAGAAGAGACAGUGGAAAAGAUACCAAAAAAACGGAUUAUUUUUGCUGUUAUAAAAGUAUUUCUCCAAGAUGUUGUCUAAAGGGUUGAGGUUGAUGCUGAUGAUGAUUCUGCCAUUUAAUACAGCACAAAACAGUAACCUUCCUCCACCCAUCCUCGACAUCAACGACGACAUCUCACUCCCCCUGACCCAGAUACCAUCUGGCCUACCUGGCCCACCUACCCAGUCUUACCUCAGUGUCCUACUCCUGUGUCUAACCGUGGGACUCUCUGGGAUCGUCUACCUGUGUGUGCUGCGUUACAUCUGUGUAGGCUGCUGCCAGCCCAUAGUGGUUGGCCCCGAGUUGGAAGCUUUCUCAGGGGUAGUGUAAAUUUAAUUUGACAUUUGGUGCCCCUGCUACUUUGGUGUCCCUGCAUAUUGCCCCUGCAUAUUGAGGCUCUCUCCAGUUUUAUGUAAAUGACAUGGACAUUGUGACAAGUGGAGUACCGCAGUUUCACAAGGCCUCCCACAAGGUCUGAGCAAGUCCACCUCCCCAGCUAAUUUCCUGCAAUUCUACACAUAUUGCCAUUAGUUAGAGAGUAAAUGUGCAGUUUUGUAGCUAAUAUCAUGCUAUUCCAAACAUUUUGUAUUUUUAAAGCACAUUUUCUGCUAUUCUAUACAUUUUGACUUUGCAGUAU